GAUCAUUAGGAAGGUUGAGAACCACUGGUCUAGACUGUCACAGUCCCUGACUAUUGAGAAGAGACUAAUAACUCACAAUCCUCAGAAUCCCCAGGGAAAGUGGUUUGCAAAGAAGGGAGAGGGAAUAUUUGCAGCUUGGGAAAGGGUCGGGCAGGGAUAUAGACUAGGAUUCAUGAAACCAUGAAGGUUGAAGUGUUGCUCCCGUGGAGUCUUUUGAUGGGGAAAAAGAAAGAAUUAAUCAGAAAUUCUAAUCUGUACACUUAUGAUGCCGCCAUUCACAGCCUCUUCACCACCCUCUAGAAUACUUUGCCCAAGGUCUUUCUUGUCUAAGAUCUCUUCUGAUGUGGACUGAAUUAUGCUCUACAGAAAGAUGCCGAAGCCCUCUGUCACAGUUCCUGUGAAUGUGGCCUUACUGGGAAAUGGUCUUUAUGCACAUAACCACAUUAAAAUGAGGUUAUUAGGGUGGGCCUUUGACCAAUAUGGCAGGUGUCCUUGGAAGAAGAGGUCAAAAGGAACAAGGUAUCUGGAAAGGUCUGUGUAUCAGUACACAGAAGACAGCAUUGAAAACAGGCAGAGACAGGUUACAUAGUCAGUCAAUCGAACCAGCAGUAGUGAUCAGAAGCUGCAAAAGCCAAAAAGAACCCACUUCUCUUUAAAGUUUUGGAGGGAGCAUGGUCCUGCUGAUAGCUUGACCCCAUCAGAUUUAUUUUGUCUGAGACAAGGACUCUAUAUAGCUCUAGCUAACCUGGAAUUCAAUGUGUAGACUGGGCUAGCCUCUGACUCAGAGGAACCCUAUGUGCCUCUGCCUUUCAAAUGUUGGGAUUAGAGGAAAAUGCCUCCACACCUCCUACUUCUAACCUCCAGAAAGGCUAAUCAGCUUUCUGUCACUCAGCAUUCAGAAACUACCAGCCUUCCUGUUGUAACUGCCUCAGCUGUAGGGGAAGCCGUGAAUGAACCUGUCUUUAGAUGCUAAGAACUGAGAACUGCAGUCAGAGGAGGUUGCCUGACAUUCCCUUUGGGCAGGGUUGUGGCUGCACAAACCUGUAAGAACUAGUUAAAUGGAACAAUGUCAAAAUCGCCACGCAGUUCCCCCCUGAAUGCCACUGGUGUGGAUCUGUGUCAGACGAUGAGUGCAUGAGUGAACGAUUCUAGGCACGCAUGCUCUCUGGAUCCCAGUGCGAGGAGGAGUCAUCGAUUCUACCCCUCGGAAUGAGAGCAGAGUCCUUCCUACAGGAGACGUUGCAUUUGAGGCUGAAGAAAAUCAUCCGUAACUGUGGGCGAAGACGGAGCGAGCACAGGGUACCCACAAACUGUUGGUGACUCAUGGUGAAUCCAUCUCACUUCUGGCAAAGACCAGUUGUGGUAUGUUCGCAUCAGUUUACUCAGUUUAACCGCUACAUCUACUUUGCCAAAUACAUCUGAGGCAGCUAAAGACACACACAGCUGAAGACACAGAUAUUUCUCUUUU